GCUAUCAGUUUGCUAUCAGUCUUUUGUAAUGAAUGCCUCAAGAUUAAUAAAGAGUAUUACUAUUAUUAUUAUGUCUUGUGUGUCUCUACUUUAUUUUUGUGCAAGAAAGCAGAAAACAAGUAUGGGGGAGAUCCCUCGACAUGCCAAACACACUCCGACUACACCACUCCUCACCUCAGGUACACACUUUGCACACUUUACACAUACAUUUAUUCUGGAUUAUGCAGAUUACUGUUUCCGACAUGAUAAAAUAAAAGGAUUAAAAUAUUUCUAAUCAUGAUUAAUCUCAAUCUGUGAUAUUUCCUAAAAACUUGCAAUUAUUAUAAAAUCAUUUAAAACCCUGUGUUACUUAAGUCAAUUGGAAUAUGUGAUGAUAGAGUAUGAGUUUCUUAUUCUUGAUAUCAUUGUUGCUUGGAGAAUUUAUUUCAAAAUAUUCAAAAUUAUAGCUACCAUCCUCAGUGUUUUAUAUGCCUGAUAAGAAUGAAAAUAUUAAUUAUGAUUAUAAAAGUUAUCUGCUCUGUAUUGAGUUUGUUCAAAAUGAGUUAGACCCUUGUUGAGAGAUUUAUCAUGCUCCCAAGAUCAAGACAUUAUUUCAGUAAGAUUCACUCUUCCGAAGUAUUAUUGCAUUAGAGGCAUGGGCUAUGCAAAAAUAGAGAUAUUUCGAGGAAAUAUAAAGGAGCAAGUGCUCGAUAACCUCGCAGAAAAAAUGGACAAGUGUCCGGCAGUAGAAUUAGGGGUACCUCGGUAUCCACUUAAAAAAAAAGAGAAAAGAGAAAAAUGAUAGCCCAUGGUCCCUCUAAUAAGCAAUAUGCCAGCAAGAGUUGACAAAGUUUUUAAUUUCCAAAGUCUUUGAUCUAAGAGUAUGACAUUCCCCUCCUCGGAUCCCGUUUUGAUCAAGCAAUAAAUGCAAAGUAAGUAUGCUUGAGAAUUUUUGUAAAAUAAAACAGCCUCAGUGAGAUAUACAUAAAAGAUAAUGAGUGAUCUGAGAGAACCUAUGAGGAUAAAAAGGUAUGCUAACUUUCUUUCAAAAAUAUACAAAAGCUCCAAGUGGCAGGAUUGAGAAGAAAGGAUCUUUACUCUUAACCAUAUACAUCCCUGACUAUGGUACACAGUGAAUUUUUAACACCCUGCAAUUAUAUAGAAUGUUUUAAAAUGUUUACCCCAGAUAUUUUUCUUAACCAUCCUUUUCUCGAGGACGAGUAAAAGCCUAAGUAUGGGGGUAUUUGUUGACGGUUCUUAAGUAUCAAUUUUAAUUAUUAAAUAAACAAGAGAAAGGACCAAUAU
rnacentral:lncRNA from 1 species